UACGUAGGGGGCAAGCGUUAUCCGGAUUUACUGGGUGUAAAGGGAGCGUAGACGGCCAGACAAGUCUGAAGUGAAAAUCCAGCGCUUAACGUUGGAAGUGCUUUGGAAACUGCCGGGCUAGAGUGCAGGAGGGGCAGGCGGAAUUCCUAGUGUAGCGGUGAAAUGCGUAGAUAUUAGGAGGAACACCAGUAGCGAAGGCGGCCUGCUGGACUGCAACUGACGUUGAGGCUCGAAGGCGUGGGGAGCAAACAGG
rnacentral:rRNA from 1 species